AAAUUGAAGAGUUUGAUCAUGGCUCAGAUUGAACGCUGGCGGCAGGCCUAACACAUGCAAGUCGAACGGUAACAGGAAGCAGCUUGCUGCUUUGCUGACGAGUGGCGGACGGGUGAGUAAUGUCUGGGAAACUGCCUGAUGGAGGGGGAUAACUACUGGAAACGGUGGCUAAUACCGCAUAACGUCGCAAGACCAAAGAGGGGGACCUUCGGGCCUCUUGCCAUCAGAUGUGCCCAGAUGGGAUUAGCUUGUUGGUGAGGUAACGGCUCACCAAGGCGACGAUCCCUAGCUGGUCUGAGAGGAUGACCAGCCACACUGGAACUGAGACACGGUCCAGACUCCUACGGGAGGCAGCAGUGGGGAAUAUUGCACAAUGGGCGCAAGCCUGAUGCAGCCAUGCCGCGUGUAUGAAGAAGGCCUUCGGGUUGUAAAGUACUUUCAGCGGGGAGGAAGGUGUUGCGGUUAAUAACCGCAGCAAUUGACGUUACCCGCAGAAGAAGCACCGGCUAACUCCGUGCCAGCAGCCGCGGUAAUACGGAGGGUGCAAGCGUUAAUCGGAAUUACUGGGCGUAAAGCGCACGCA
rnacentral:rRNA from 1 species